AUUGAACGCUGGCGGCAUGCCUUACACAUGCAAGUCGAACGGCAGCACGGGUGCUUUCACCUGGUGGCGAGUGGCGAACGGGUGAGUAAUACAUCGGAACAUGUCCUGUAGUGGGGGAUAGCCCGCCGAAAGCCGGAUUAAUACCGCAUACGAUCUACGGAUGAAAGCGGGGGACCUUCGGGCCUCGCGCCAUAGCGUUGGCCGAUGGCUGAGUAGCUAGGUGGUGGGGUAAAGGCCUACCAAGGCGACGACCAGUAGCUGGCAUGAGAGGACGACCAGCCACACUGGGACUGAGACACGGCCCAGACUCCUACGGGAGGCAGCAGUGGGGAAUUUUGGCCACUGGGCGAAAGCCUGAUCCAGCACUGCCGCGUGUGUGAAGAAGGCCUUCGGGUUGUAAAGCACUUUUGUCCGGAAAGAAAUCCUUGGCCCUAAUACGGUCGGGGGAUGACGGUACCGGAAGAAUACGCACCGGCUAACUACGUG
rnacentral:rRNA from 1 species